GACAUACUAAGAACUUUCCAGAGAUGGAUUGGUGCCUUCGGGAACUUAGAUACAGGUGCUGCAUGGCUGUCGUCAGCUCGUGUCGUGAGAUGUUGGGUUAAGUCCCGNAACGAGCGCAACCCUUUUCCUUAUUUGCCAGCGGGUCAUGCCGGGAACUUUAAGGAUACUGCCAGUGACAAACUGGAGGAAGGCGGGGACGACGUCAAGUCAUCAUGGCCCUUACGGCCAGGGCUACACACGUGCUACAAUGGUCAGUACAAAGGGUUGCUACCUCGCGAGAGGAUGCUAAUCUCAAAAAGCCGAUCGUAGUCCGGAUCGCAGUCUGCAACUCGACUGCGUGAAGUCGGAAUCGCUAGUAAUCGCGGAUCAGAAUGCCGCGGUGAAUACGUUCCCGGGCCUUGUACACACCGCCCGUCACACCAUGGGAGUUUGUUGCACCAGAAGUAGGUAGUCUAACCGCAAGGAGGACGCUUACCACGGUGUGGCCGAUGACUGGGGUGAAGUCGUAACAAGGUAGGCGUACUACA
rnacentral:rRNA from 1 species